rnacentral:rRNA from 1 species
GACGAACGCUGGCGGCGUGCCUAAUACAUGCAAGUUGAGCGAUGAAGAUUGGUGCUUGCACCAAUUUGAAGAGCAGCGAACGGGUGAGUAACGCGUGGGGAAUCUGCCUUUGAGCGGGGGACAACAUUUGGAAACGAAUGCUAAUACCGCAUAACAACUUUAAACAUAAGUUUUAAGUUUGAAAGAUGCAAUUGCAUCACUCAAAGAUGAUCCCGCGUUGUAUUAGCUAGUUGGUGAGGUAAAGGCUCACCAAGGCGAUGAUACAUAGCCGACCUGAGAGGGUGACGGUCACCAUGGGGACUGAGACACGCCCCAAACCCAGACGGGGGGAACAGGUGGGGAUUCUUGGGAAAUGGAGGAAAGUCGGACCGGCACACGCGGCGUGAGUGAGGAGGGUUUUCGGAUCGAAAACCUUUGUUGGUAGAAAAGACCGUGGGGGGGAGGGGAAACCUCAAAAAGGGAGGGAAACUACCAAAAAGGGGACGGCAAACUCCGUC